GACAGAGGUGCCGAGCGUUAGGCGGAAUCACUGGGCUUAAAGCGUGUGUAGGCGGACCGUUAAGUGCCUUGUGAAAGCCCACGGCUCAACCGUGGAACCGCUGGGCAGACUGGCGGUCUUGAGAGGCCGAGGGGCCAUCGGAACAAGCGGUGGAGCGGUGAAAUGCGUAGAUAUCUGGAGGAACACCGGUGGCGAAGGCGGCAUCCUGGACCGGUAUUGACGCUGAGGCGCGAAAGCCAGGGGAGCAAACGGG
rnacentral:rRNA from 1 species